rnacentral:tRNA from 1 species
GGGGCGGUGGUGUAAUGGUAACAUGGAGGGCUCAUGCCCCUAUGAUGUUGGUUCGAAUCCAGCCUGCCCCU